rnacentral:rRNA from 1 species
GAUGAACGCUGGCGGUGUGCCUAAUACAUGCAAGUCGAGCGAACAGACGAGGAGCUUACUCCUCUGACGUUAGCGGCGGACGGGUGAGUAACACGUGGAUAACCUACCUAUAAGACUGGGAUAACUUCGGGAAACCGGAGCUAAUACCGGAUAACAUGUUGAACCGCAUGGUUCAACAGUGAAAGACGGUCUUGCUGUCACUUAUAGAUGGAUCCGCGUCGCAUUAGCUAGUUGGUAAGGUAACGGCUUACCAAGGCAACGAUGCGUAGCCGACCUGAGAGGGUGAUCGGCCACACUGGAACUGAGACACGGUCCAGACUCCUACGGGAGGCAGCAGUAGGGAAUCUUCCGCAAUGGGCGAAAGCCUGACGGAGCAACGCCGCGUGAGUGAAGAAGGUCUUCGGAUCGUAAAACUCUGUUAUUAGGAAAGAACAAAUGUGUAAGUAACUAUGCACGUCUUGACGGUACCUAAUCAGAAAGCCACGGCUAACUACGUG